rnacentral:rRNA from 1 species
AUUGAACGCUGGCGGCAUGCCUUACACAUGCAAGUCGAACGGCAGCAUGGAGAGCUUGCGCUCUGAUGGCGAGUGGCGAACGGGUGAGUAAUGCAUCGGAACGUACCGUGUAAUGGGGGAUAACGUAGCGAAAGUUACGCUAAUACCGCAUACGACCUGAGGGUGAAGGCAGGGGAUCGCAAGGCCUUGCGUUAUACGAGCGGCCGGUGUCAGAUUAGCUAGUUGGGAGGGUAAAGGCUCACCAAGGCGACGAUCUGUAGCGGGUCUGAGAGGAUGAUCCGCCACACUGGGACUGAGACACGGCCCAGACUCCUACGGGAGGCAGCAGUGGGGAAUUUUGGACAAUGGGGGCAACCCUGAUCCAGCCACGCCGCGUGAGUGAAGAAGGCCUUCGGGUUGUAAAGCUCUUUCGGCCGGGAAGAAAUCGCACAGGCUAUUACUCUGUGUGGAUGACGGUACCGGCAUAAGAAGCACCGGCUAACUACGUGCCAGCCGCCGCCGUAA